rnacentral:rRNA from 1 species
UACGAAGGGUGCUAGCGUUGUUCGGAAUCACUGGGCGUAAAGCGCGCGUAGGCGGCUAUUCAAGUCAGAGGUGAAAGCCUGGAGCUCAACUCCAGAAUUGCCUUUGAAACUGUGUAGCUAGAGUGUCGGAGGGGAUAGCGGAAUUGCUAAUGUAGAGGUGAAAUUCGUAGAUAUUAGCAGGAACACCGGUGGCGAAGGCGGCUAUCUGGACGACAACUGACGCUGGGGCGCGAAAGCGUGGGGAUCAAACAGG